CGGGGUGCAGCAGGCGCGAAAACUCCACAAUGUACGAAAGUACGAUGGGGUUACCUCGAGUGCAGUCCGAUAAGGGCUGCUUUUCCAUAGAGUAAUAUCCUGUGGGAAUAAGAGGGGGGCAAGACUGGUGUCAGCCGCCGCGGUAACACCAGCCCCUCGAGUGGUGGGGACUAUUAUUUGGCCUAAAGCGUCCGUAGCUGGCUGUGUCAGUCCUCCGUUAAAUCCAGCGUCCUAAGCGUUGGACUGCGGGUGAUACCACACAGCUAGAGGGUGGGAUAGGUGAGCGGUAUUUCUGGGGUAGGGGCGAAAUCCUUUGAUCCCAGGAGGACCACCAGUGGCGAAGGCUGCUCACUAGAACACGCCUGACGGUCAGGGACGAAAGCUGGGGCAGCGAACCGGAUUAGAUACCCGGGUAGUCCCAGCUGUAAACGAUGCUAGCUAGGUGUUGGGUCGGCCACGUGCCGCCCCAGUGCCGCAGGGAAGCCGUUAAGCUAGCCGCCUGGGGAGUACGGCCGCAAGGCUGAAACUUAAAGGAAUUGGC
rnacentral:rRNA from 1 species